rnacentral:rRNA from 1 species
ACGAACGCUGGCGGCGUGCUUAACCCAUGCAAGUCGCACGGAAAGGCCUCAGCUUGCUGGGGUACUCGAGUGGCGAACGGGUGAGUAACACGUGGGUGAUCUGCCUUGCACUCUGGGAUAAGCUUGGGAAACUGGGUCUAAUACCGGAUAUGAACUGCCUUUAGUGUGGUGGUUGGAAAGUUUUUUCGGUGCAAGAUGAGCUCGCGGCCUAUCAGCUUGUUGGUGGGGUAAUGGCCUACCAAGGCGUCGACGGGUAGCCGGCCUGAGAGGGUGUACGGCCACAUUGGGACUGAGAUACGGCCCAGACUCCGACGGGAGGCAGCAGUGGGGAAUAUUGCACAAUGGGCGGAAGCCGGAUGCAGCGACGCCGCGUGGGGGAUGACGGCCUUCGGGUUGUAAACGCCUUUCGACAGGGACGAAGCUUUUUGUGACGGUACCUGUAGAAGAAGCACCGGCUAACUACGUG